AGUCUUAUAUUCAAUUAUGAUUUUAAAUUGCAAAUUUAAAGGUAAAUUUAAUUUUAAGGCUU
rnacentral:tRNA from 2 species